rnacentral:lncRNA from 1 species
GCUGUAUCGAUUGUUGAGAUCUGGCGACUUGUUUAAAUUUCAUCAGCCUCACUUCUAUGAACUCUCAGGCCUCAUGUGUACCAGCUCUCUGCUCUCCUUUGCCUUGGGACGUUCCAUCCCUGGAAGUUUCCCUGCCCACAUCUUUGUAGAGAGUCCAUUCUCCAAGCUUCAGUGUGUCAUCUGUGAGGACUGUGACCAACCUGGUACAUCGCCUCAGGGCAUUCAUUUCAGGCUCCUUCUAAAUGGUCAAGGCACCCUUGGAAAUGCAAUGCUACAUCUCAAUGGGAUUUUCCAGUACAAAGAUUCUUUUCAAAUAACAUAAUUGUGGAUACACACCACUCCUACAGUGGUAAACCUCAGGUUCUCCU